rnacentral:lncRNA from 1 species
ACACUGAUCUUAUGAUAUAUAUGUAUAUAAGGGAAUGCAAAUGUACUGAGUGUUCCUCACCCUUCACUCAACUGCUCCAUUGAUUUUGUUUUCUUUCUAUGUUUUCCACACAGAAGAAGCAAAACAAACGAAGAAUAUAAAAUUGGGUACAAUGUUGAAAGAGUUACCUUCUUUGUCUACUAUUCUCUCCGCUUAUGCUUCUAUUUCAGCCAUGGCUAUGUUAAUCCGAACCAUCUUAAAUGAAAUGCUCCCUGAAAGAAUGACAAACUACAUCUUCUCUAUGAUUUACGACUUCACUUCUGCUUACUUCUCAUCCGACUUCACCUUCAUAAUCGAAUACCGGCAUGCUGGCGAUAACCAAUUGUUUCGAGCUGCGGAGAUCUACUUGCCCACCAUAUUUGGACCCUCCAGCGAUAGCCUUCUCGUAGGUUUCGAUAAGUCCAGUGAUCCCACCGCACCACCAAAACCUAGCAUCCCUGUUGAUUUCAGGAUGAAGGAUGGUUUUGAUGGCAUGCGCUUGGAAUAGACUUUAUCUUCUAUUGAACCCAAAAAGUACUACGUCCCUACUAAGAGAUUCUUCAGCUUGACCUGCAACAAAGAGGAUAGAGAAAGAGUUGAGCAAAGGUACUUUCCUUAUAUUAAUAGAACUGCACAAAAAAUUCUGAACAAGAGUGACAGCCUCAGCAUUUACACUUAUGAUCAAGAAUGUACUAUGUAGGAGCUGAC